ACCCAGAACGCGCGGAUCUAAUCCUGUUCGAGUCGGGUCAUCGGGUCUCGCAUAAUCUGAGCAAAUACGGUGCCGUUUAAACACCCCACAAGAACUAACUGAAACCCUAAAAUUUAAGAACUUUCAUUUUCUCUUUUACUCAUCAGCAGAAAAACUAAACUCUCCUCCUCCCUGCCGUCGCAUCAAACCUAAACCCUAUCUAACUCCGAUUUGGACGGAGUAAACAGAGCUCCAGCGUUGCGUUUACAAAGGUACGGAGGCCAGCUGGCAUACGGAGAUGGUGGACGUGGCGCAGCAUACGCGGAGGAGUUGGGGCUGCUGCAUCGCAGGGGGUUUGCUUGUUGCUAGGGUUUCUGUUAACUGCCUUUAGGUGCUGGGCCAUUGGGCCAUUAGGUUUUUGGUUAGUUUGGGCUAUUAGGCCGUUGUUUGUAAAUGGACAUUCAAAAAUGGGCUGAUGUUAUAUAUUCUAUUUUUAUACUGGUUUGUUAUUGGUGUUUGGGCCUGGCGAAUGUUGGGCAAUUACAGAAACCACCAACCACCACAUAUUAUUAUAUUAAACCAGAGAUGCAUUUGAUAGCCAA